GACGAACGCUGGCGGCGUGCUUAACACAUGCAAGUCGAACGGAAAGGCCCAGCUUGCUGGGUGCUCGAGUGGCGAACGGGUGAGUAACACGUGGGUGAUCUGCCUCUAACUUCGGGAUAAGCUUGGGAAACUGGGUCUAAUACCGGAUAGGACAUUCGUUUAGUGUCGGUUGUGGAAAGUUGUUUCGGUUAGGGAUGAGCCCGCGGCCUAUCAGCUUGUUGGCUGGGUAAUGGCCUAACAAGGCGUCGACGGGUAGCCGACAUGGGAGGCUGGACGGCCACAUGGGGACUGAGAGACGGCCCAGUCUCCUAUGGGAGGCAGAAGGGGGGAGUAUGGCACAAUGGGCGCGAGCCUGUUGCAACGACGUCGCGGGGGUGAUGACGUCCUGCGGGGUGUAAACCUCUUUCGACAGAGACGAAGCUUUGGUGACGGUACCUGAAGAAGAAGCACCGGCUAACUACGUG
rnacentral:rRNA from 1 species